rfam:Salmo salar isolate Sally breed double haploid chromosome ssa18, whole genome shotgun sequence.
GAAAUGCAUGACUGCAAGUCGCUUUGGAUAAAAGCAGCUGCUAAAUGGCAUAUA